GCCGGAGGAAAUUAUAGAUUAAGGACAAAUCACAAGAAAUCUGAAGGAGAUAUUAUCUGAAAUCAAUGAAUGAAGUGGAAGAAGCAGGGCAAGUAGCGGAGAAAGCAAAGAUAAAUCCCAACAAAUAUCGAUGAAAGUGUGAGGAAUACACUUUUGCAUGCCUCCAUUACAUAUGGAGCAUCCUUCAGUGUCCCAUAUGAAGUUUAGGUGAGACUUCGUUCAAAUUCAUAUCAGCUGGAUGUUGUCAUUUUCCUGUAAGUAAAUAGGCAAUAACACAUGAUAAAGUAGAUAGAAAGGAUGAAGGUUGAUGAGAUAGUUGGGAGAGAUAAAGUCAGCCAUGUUUAACUGUCAAAGCUUCAUAAUGAUCUUUACCAAUACAUAAGCCGAUUAUACUAUAACAAAGGAAAGCAGGAGCAAGUAUAUCGAGGAAAACAGAAUUAAGGUGAAUAGGUUGUAACAGAACUGGAUAAGUCUCAAGCAAGUAUAUAUUAAUUGUAAUCCCAAUCAAACUUAAGCUUAUCCAAGUCUCAAUCAUCUUAUGCAAAACGUCGAAUGAAAGGGAUGCACAAUAUUUAACUUAACACUUUUAAAUCUUAGUUAUAUAAAGGAAUCAGAUACCAAAAUCAUAAGCUUGAAACGUAAGAUAAAAUGAGGGCUAUCUUAAAGUAAAACCAUAUAGAAAUUACUAAGCAACUAAUGUAAAUUCAAAUUGGUACAAACUUGUCACUAUUAUUUUGUUACAAAUGUAAUUCUCCAAGAAAACUAUUACUGAACACAUCAGUUAGCAUAUAUCACUAUAUAACACAUACAAAUAUUGCAGCUCUUACUUCUGUCAAGGUUUCACAGUUGCUUUAGUGAUUGUGCAAAAUAAUAUAGGCAAGUCCCUCAGUAAAUUAAAGCUCUUGCAGAAAGGAACAAACUCGGAAGAGAAGAAGUUGUCCAACAGAAUAGAGUUGAAGACAAAUCAGAAAUGAUGUUGCACCACAAAGAAUUCACACAACAAAAAUCAGAACAAUUCAAUUUAUGCCGAUGAAGUUAGCAGAGUCAAUGUAGACACGUUAGCAUCUGAAGCAAAAAUUGUACAAUCCAAAAGAUCUAAAAAACAAAAAUUAGCUCCUAAGACCUAAUAUCCGUUAUCUGUAAGUACCAUGACAACUGCAAGCUUUGUCAUAAAACUUAAUUUGUCUAAUAUCAAAAUUCAUGACAAUAACAUCGAUAAAUUAGCACAAAAAAAUGGCAAGAGAUUCAAGGAAAUAGUGGCAAGAGAUUGAAGGUGAGACAAAGAAAAGUCGAUCAAUCUGGAGAAGAAACGAAGGUAAAACCAAAACCAAAACACACAAUUACAUACAGAAUAAAGCGGCAGCCAGGUUUAGAGUUAGAUGGAGGCAGGUGGCUUAAGAAUUCAACACGUGUCAGACAUGGUUAAUGACAAAAAUACCCCUGGGAAGAAAGCUGGCAGGACAACGACCAGCUGCUUCCUUGGGCACUUCUAUAUAUAGAUAUAAACUCCUGCUACUUUACAUGAAUUUCACAAACUUGUGAACAUCAGGCAUGACGUAAAAGCAAGAAAUAUUUCCUAACCUUGACUGAUUCUGCAAAUAUGAACUUUUAGCUCCAUGUUGAUACUUAGUAAAAUAAGAAGAUAAGCUCAAGAGCAAUCAGUCA
rnacentral:lncRNA from 1 species